AGACUGGUGUAAAUCAUAUAGUACUUUGUGCUGAUGGACGAUCUGUGUCGCGGACUCUGUUAUCCAAAAUUGCAACUGACAGCUUGACCAAUUGCCCUAUCUUAUUUCCAUCAUACAGAAGUGAAUUAAUUCUCUUAUGAAUUGUCAGCUAUGUAAAGGUAGAUAUGCUUUCCCCCACUCUUUUAAAAUAGAAAAUAAAUCAUUCUCAUCCUCAAAGUACUAAGAGUCACAGAAAGAUUGCUCGGCAUCAGGCUUCUUCAUCAGUGUUCUCGUGGCAACAAGAAAAGACACACAGCUGUCCUUCAUCCAGCAGUCAAGAAACCCUUUAAAGAGAGGUUUUUACUUCAUCCCAUUUUCCAUGGGGAUAGGAGGCAAUUCCUAGUCACAGUGGCUUAAGAUCAAAGAAGACAGAUUUCAACAACAAGUUCCCUGAAAAUGGUGGUAAUUCUUCCGUCAUCGAGCAGUUAAAAACACAGAACCAAGCGUGAAAUGUUGGAGCAAAAAAUGGACGACCUACUGAGUCAUCAGAGACAAUUUGUCGAAAAUAAUCGUCGGUCCGUAGAACAGAAAAGAAAAGAAAAGGAAAAGUCUUCUACAUUUCUAAGAAGUGUUUCAUCAGCUACAUGACUUACUGACAGGGGAUCUGCCGUGCGACCAGAUAAACCAGGACUUGCAGCAAGCCAACGAUGCUCUACGAGCAGAACUCAACAAAGAAAUGGAGGAAAAAAACCUUCUUCGCUGCCAGUCUGAUCAAAAAUCUCAAGAAAUCCAUCAGCUGCAAGAAGAACUGAAAACAGCUAAACAGUUUCUGAAGGAGACCCAGAAUUAUGCGGAAGAGAUGAAAAAGAAGAGUUUGUCUCAGGAAAUACAAUUAGAAAAGAAAGAAGCUGAGAUUUGGGAUUUAGAGGAAAAAUCAAGAUUUGACUGAGGAA